UAACAGGCAUAGACGAAGAGGAGUAGAUUCAACGAUAGAGAGCGUAUGUGUGGUGGAAAUGCGCAAGAAUCGAAGCAGCUUCCGAGCCCAUUUUCUGAACGGAUAGUAGGAAAGUGCGUUUUGCAAACGUUAAGAUGCAGUUUAACCUUCAAAGUGAUUGGGCGUUGUCCAAUAAGUAGGGUGGUACCGCGAUAAGUCGUCCCUACA
rnacentral:ncRNA from 1 species